rnacentral:rRNA from 1 species
UACAGGGGGGGCAAGCGUUGUUCGGAAUUACUGGGCGUAAAGGGCUCGUAGGCGGCCAACUAAGUCACACGUGAAAUCCCCAGGCUUAACCUGGGAACUGCGUGUGAUACUGGAUGGCUUGAAUCCGGGAGAGGGAUGCAGAAUUCCGGGUGUAGCGGUGAAAUGUGUAGAGAUCCGGAGGAACACCAGUGGUGCAGACGGCGCCCUGGGUCCGAACUGACGCUGAAGCACGAAAGCGUGGGGAGCGAACGGG